AGCGAACGCUGGCGGCAGGCCUAACACAUGCAAGUCGAACGAACUCUUCGGAGUUAGUGGCGGACGGGUGAGUAACACGUGGGAACGUGCCUUUUGGUUCGGAAUAACUCAGGGAAACUUGUGCUAAUACCGAAUGUGCCCUUCGGGGGAAAGAUUUAUCGCCAUUAGAGCGGCCCGCGUCUGAUUAGCUAGUUGGUGAGGUAACGGCUCACCAAGGCUACGAUCAGUAGCUGGUCUGAGAGGAUGACCAGCCACACUGGGACUGAGACACGGCCCAGACUCCUACGGGAGGCAGCAGUGGGGGAUCUUGCGCAAUGGGCGAAAGCCUGACGCAGCCAUGCCGCGUGAAUGAUGAAGGUCUUAGGAUUGUAAAAUUCUUUCACCGGUGACGAUAAUGACGGUACCCGGAGAAGAAGCCCCGGCUAACUUCGUG
rnacentral:rRNA from 1 species